GAUGAAGAACGUAGCGAAAUGCGAUAAGUAAUGUGAAUUGCAGAAUUCAGUGAAUCAUCGAAUCUUUGAACGCACAUUGCGCCCGCUAGUAUUCUGGCGGGCAUUCCUGUCCGAGCGUCAUUUCAACCCUCAAGCCCCCGGGCUUGGUGUUGGGGAUCGGCGAGCCUCCGCGCCCGCCGUCCCCUAAAUCUAGUGGCGGUCUCGCUGUAGCUUCCUCUGCGUAGUAGCACACCUCGCACUGGGAAACAGCGCGGCCACGCCGUUAAACCCCCAACUUCUGAACGUUUGACCUCGGAUCAGGUAGGAAUACCCGCUGAACUUAAGCAUAUCAAUAAGCGGAGGA
rnacentral:misc_RNA from 1 species